AUAGUAUGCCAUCCCUCAAGGAAGUUGCCCUUGAGAUUCUUCCAUCUGCUUGAUAAAUACUUAUGGGGUUGGUCUCCAGCUCUUUUGCAGAGAUUUUGAAAGGACUCUACACACUUGCCAUUUGAUUAACGAAGUAUUGAAGUUGGGGCCCAAAGAAAUGGCGUUUUCUAGCAUAAAAGUGGUGUCAAUGAGUAGCAAGUUGUUACUUGUACAGUUUAUAAAUUCAUCUUUCGUCAUUUGUGUGUGGACUAUUGUGUAGAACUUUAUCAGACCAUCACAAUCACUGAUUAAAAGAAUCACUUUGUGUUUUUCGCUGUUUUUUUUUUGUUAUAAUACAAAUGAAGAUAAGGUCCUGUAUUUUGGUAAACAAAAGGUGGUGGCUUGUUAUUAAUCUUUGCUAUUGACGAUAAUUGGUUCAAUGUUGUACUUGUAUCUUUUUAAUUAUGAAUAUAUAUAUUUUGUUU